rnacentral:rRNA from 1 species
AUUAAAAACCAAUGCCCUUCGGGGCUCUCUGGUGAUUCAUAAUAACUUCUCGAAUCGCACGGCCUUGUGCCGGCGAUGGUUCAUUCAAAUUUCUGCCCUAUCAACUUUCGACGGCUGGGUCUUGGCCAGCCGUGGUGACAACGGGUAACGGAGGGUUAGGGCUCGACCCCGGAGAAGGAGCCUGAGAAACGGCUACUACAUCCAAGGAAGGCAGCAGGCGCGCAAAUUACCCAAUCCCGACACGGGGAGGUAGUGACAAUAAAUACUGAUACAGGGCUCUUUCGGGUCUUGUAAUUGGAAUGAGUACAAUUUAAAUCCCUUAACGAGGGACAAUUGGAGGGCAAGUCUGGUGCCAGCAGCCGCGGUAAUUCCAGCUCCAAUAGCGUAUAUUAAAGUUGUUGAGGUUAAAAAGCUCGUAGUUGAACCUUGGGCCUAGCCGGCCGGUCCGCCUCACCGCGUGCACUGGCUCGGCUGGGUCUUUCCUUCUGGAGAACCGCAUGCCCUUCACUGGGUGUGCC